GCUAGAAAAAUGCAACCUGAAUGACUUCUGUGGCCAUCUUUGCAAGCAUGUACAGACUCCUCAUCUGAUGUUCUUUGACUGCACAGCGGAUGAGAUCAGCAGAUGAAGCUUUGGAAAAAGGAAAACAAUACCUUUCAGCAAAAGCCCUCUGUUUAGGUUAUCCAUUUCUUUUUGUAUGAAUGACUAAGCAGGGAAGCAUCAUGCUAAUCAGCAGUUCAGCAGCAAGGAAAGUUCAAUCCGGCCAGCCAUCCAGAUAUAAACUUUGCUCUAUUCCA